rnacentral:rRNA from 1 species
AGCGGCAGACGGGUGAGUAACGCGUGGGAACAUACCUUUUGGUUCGGAACAACACAGGGAAACUUGUGCUAAUACCGGAUAAGCCCUUACGGGGAAAGAUUUAUCGCCGAAAGAUUGGCCCGCGUCUGAUUAGCUAGUUGAUGAGGUAAUGGCUCACCAAGGCGACGAUCAGUAGCUGGUCUGAGAGGAUGAUCAGCCACAUUGGGACUGAGACACGGCCCAAACUCCUACGGGAGGCAGCAGUGGGGAAUAUUGGACAAUGGGCGCAAGCCUGAUCCAGCCAUGCCGCGUGAGUGAUGAAGGCCCUAGGGUUGUAAAGCUCUUUUGUGCGGGAAGAUAAUGACGGUACCGCAAGAAUAAGCCCCGGCUAACUUCGUGCCCCCCCCCCCCCCGGAAAAAAAAAAAAGGAAAAGUUUUUUCCCAAAAACCCGGGGGGAAAAGGGGGGGGAAGGGGGGUUUUUUUUUCGGGGGGAAAAACCGGGGGGAACUCAACUCCAGAACUGCCUUUGA